AUUGAACGCUGGCGGCAGGCCUAACACAUGCAAGUCGAGCGGUUGAGGUAGCUUGCUACCGAUGCAGCGGCGGACGGGUGAGUAAUACAUGGGAAUCUGCCUGGUAGUGGGGGACAACGUUUCGAAAGGAACGCUAAUACCGCAUACGCCUUACGGGGGAAAGGGGGGGAUCUUCGGACCUCUCGCUAUCAGAUGAGCCCAUGUCGGAUUAGCUUGUUGGUGAGGUAAAGGCUCACCAAGGCGACGAUCCGGAACUGGCCUGAGAGGAUGAUCAGUCACACUGGAACUGAGACACGGUCCAGACUCCUACGGGAGGCAGCAGUGGGGAAUAUUGGACAAUGGGCGCAAGCCUGAUCCAGCCAUGCCGCGUGUGUGAAGAAGGCCUUAGGGUUGUAAAGCACUUUCAGUGGGGAGAAAGGUCAUUCACCUAAUACGUGAGUGAAUUGAUGUUACCCACAGAAGAAGCACCGGCUAACUCCGUGCCAGCCGCCGCGGUAA
rnacentral:rRNA from 1 species